GCCCAAAUGGCGGAAUUGGUAGACGCGCAGGUUUCAGGUACCUGUGGGGUUACACCCGUGUAAGUUCGAGUCUUAUUUUGGGCACCA
rnacentral:tRNA from 2 species